UACGUAGGGUCCGAGCGUUGUCCGGAAUUAUUGGGCGUAAAGAGCUCGUAGGCGGUUUGUCGCGUCUGCUGUGAAAUCCCGAGGCUCAACCUCGGGUCUGCAGUGGGUACGGGCAGACUGGAGUGCGGUAGGGGAGAAUGGAAUUCCUGGUGUAGCGGUGGAAUGCGCAGAUAUCAGGAGGAACACCGGUGGCGAAGGCGGCAUCCUGGACCGACAUUGACGCUGAGGAGCGAAAGCUAGGGGAGCAAACGGG
rnacentral:rRNA from 1 species